GAAGGAGGAGAACUAAUGUGUGAUUCUCCCAGCAGGUUGUUGUGUUUGUCUGCUAUGCAUCAGUGUGAGGACAGAGAGGAGGGAGUCCCUCCCUCUAAAAGAUCUCUGUGUGGAGAAGAUGAGAACCAGAGCAAAGCUCAGAGCCCAGAGCAGCAGAACACACACUCUGCUGGACCUGGACCUGGACCUGGACCUGGACCUGGACCUGGACCUGGACCUGGACCUGGACCUGGACCUGGAUCCAGCUGUGUGUCCAUGAAGAGUGACAGGUCAAAGGAUAUUCCUCCUGAAUUCAGACGAUUGGCAAAUGAAAGGAUCCAGCAGCAGAGACCAGACUGUCCUGAACCCAGCUGUCUGUCCUUCAAGAGUGACCAGUCGAAGGAUGAUGUCAUUUACUUUAAAGACGUCCGUCCAUCUGCUGAUCAGAUAGUGGAGCAGCAGAACUCAGAGGUUCCCAGAGCUCAGUCUGUCCAGCAGCAUCACCUGGACUCCAUAUUCAUGCUGCUGGAGGACAACAUGGUGACUUUUGUGAAGAAGGAGCUGAAGAAGAUGCAGAAGGUUGUGAGUCCAGAUUACCCAGAAUGCUCAGAGAGUCAGAGGGAGGAUGAGGAGGAGUUGGAGGGUGAUGAUGAAGAUGAGAGGAGCAGCAGAGAGAUGUUUGAGCAGAUCACAGUGUUGUUCCUGAGGAGGAUGAAGCAGGAGAAGCUGGCUGACUGUCUGCAGAGCAAACUUGCUGCAGUUUGUGGACGUAAACUUAAACGUGGUCUGAAGAAGAAGUUCCAGAGAGUGUUUGAGGGCAUCGCUAAAGCAGGACAGCCGACCCUCCUGAAUGAGAUCUACACAGAGCUGUACAUCACAGAGGGAGGGACUGCAGAGGUCAAUGAUGAACAUGAGGUCAGACAGAUUGAAGCAGCAUCCAGGAAAGCAGACAGAGCAGAAAGAAGCAUCAGAGCAGAAGACAUCUUUAGAGGCUCACCUGGAAGAGAUGGACCAAUCAGAACAGUGAUGACACAGGGAGUGGCUGGCAUCGGGAAAACAGUGUUAACACAGAAGUUGACUCUGGACUGGGCUGAAGACAAAAGCAACCAGGACAUCCACUUCAUGUUUCCAUUGACUUUCAGAGAGCUGAAUGUGCUGAAAGAGAGAAAGUUCAGCUUGGUGGAACUUGUUCAUCACUUCUUCAGUGAAACCAAAGCAGCAGGAAUGUGCAGCUUUGAAGACUUCCAGGUUGUGUUGAUCUUUGACGGUCUGGAUGAGUGUCGCCUUCCUCUGGACUUCCACAACAAUGAGGUCCUGACUGAUGUUACAGAGUCCACCUCAGUGGAUGUGCUGCUGACAAACCUGAUCAGGGGGAAUCUGCUUCCCUCUGCUCGCCUCUGGAUAACCACACGACCUGCAGCAGCCAAUCAGAUCCCUCCUGACUGUGUGGACAUGGUGACGGAGGUCAGAGGGUUCACCGACCCACAGAAGGAGGAGUACUUCAGGAAGAGAUCCAGAGAUGAGGAGCAGGCCAGCAGCAUCAUCUCCCACAUGAAGACAUCACGAAGCCUCCACAUCAUGUGCCACAUCCCAGUGUUCUGCUGGAUCACUGCUACAGUUCUGGAGGAGCUGCUGAGAAGCAGAGAGGGAGGAGAUCUGCCCAGAACCCUGACUGAGAUGUUCAUCCACCACCUGGUGGUUCAGACCAAAGUCAAGAAGGUCAAGUAUGAUGGAGGAGCUGAGACAGAUCCACACUGGAGUCCAGACAGCAGGAGGAUGAUUGAGUCUCUGGGAAAACUGGCUUUUGAGCAGCUGCAGAAAGGAAACCUGAUCUUCUAUGAGUCCGACCUGACAGAGUGUGGCAUCGAUAUGGAAGCAGCCUCAGUACUCAGGAGUGUUCACACAGAUCUUUAAAGAGGAGAGAGGGCUGUACCAGGACAAGGUGUUCUGCUUCGUCCAUCUGAGCGUUCAGGAGUUUCUGGCUGCAGUCUACAUGUUCCACUGUUACACCAACAGGAAGGAGAAGGUUCUGGAGGACUUCCUGGGAAAAGACUGGAAAGAUGAGAACAGAGACACUCUGGAUGUGUUCCUGAAGAGGUCAUGGAGAAAUCCCUGAGAAGUAAAAAUGGUCACCUGGACCUGUUUGUUCGCUUCCUUCAUGGCCUCUGUCUGGAGUCCAACCAGAGACUCUUAGGAGGUCUGCUGGGUCGGACAGAGAACCAUCCAGAAAUGAUCCAGAGAGUCAUCAACAACCUGAAGGAGAUGAAGAGUGAUGAAAUGUCUCCAGACAGAAGCAUCAACAUCUUCCACUGUCUGAUGGAGAUGAAGGAUCUCUCAGUACAUCAGGAGAUCCA